rnacentral:rRNA from 1 species
CAGUGGGGAAUAUUGCACAAUGGGCGCAAGCCUGAUGCAGCGACGCCGCGUGGAGGAAGAAGGUCUUCGGAUUGUAAACUCCUGUUGAGUGGGAAGAAAGACGGCUGGUUAAUACCCAGUUGGGACGACGGUACCACUCGAGGAAGCACCGGCAAACUUCGUGCCAGCAGCCGCGGUAAUACGAAGGGUGCGAGCGUUAUUCGGAGUUAUUGGGCGUAAAGGGCGCGUAGGCGGUCCACUAAGUCAGCUGUUAAAGACCUCGGCUUAACCGAGGAAAAGCAGGUGGUACUGGAGGGCUAGAGGACAGAAGAGAGAAGUGGAAUUCUCGGAGUAGCGGUAAAAUGCGUAGAUCUCGAGAGGAACACCGACUGGCGAAGGCAGCUUCUUGGUCUGUAACUGACGCUGAGGCGCGAAAGCGUGGGGAGCAAACAGGAUUAGAUACCCUGGUAGUCCACGCUGUAAACGAUGAUCACUGGAU